GGAGAGAUGCCUGAAUUGGUUAAGGGAGCGGGUUGCUAACCCGUCGGCUGCUUCGGUGGUCUCUGGGUUCGAAUCCCAGUCUCUCCGCCA
rnacentral:tRNA from 11 species